rnacentral:rRNA from 1 species
GUGGAUUAGAUACCCUAGUAGUCCACGCCCUAAACGAUGCGAACUGGACGUUGGGAGCAAUCAGGCUCUCAGUGUCGAAGCUAACGCGUUAAGUUCGCCGCCUGGGGAGUACGGUCGCAAGACUGAAACUCAAAGGAAUUGACGGGGGCCCGCACAAGCGGUGGAGUAUGUGGUUUAAUUCGAUGCAACGCGCAGAACCUUACCUGGCCUUGACAUCCACGGAAUCCUUGAGAGAUCAGGGAGUGCCUUCGGGAACCGUGAGACAGGUGCUGCACGGCCGUCGCCAACU